rnacentral:misc_RNA from 1 species
GAUGAAGAACGUAGCGAAAUGCGAUAAGUAAUGUGAAUUGCAGAAUUCAGUGAAUCAUCGAAUCUUUGAACGCACCUUGCGCUCCUUGGUAUUCCGAGGAGCAUGCCUGUUUGAGUGUCAUUAAUAUAUCAACCUUCUCUUUUUUGAGUUGUUUGGAUGUGGGGGUUUGCUGGCCUCUUAAAUGAUUCAGCUCCCCUGAAAUGCAUUAGCAGAACAACCUGUUCAUUGGCGUGAUAAUUAUCUAUGCUAUUGAAUGUGAGGGCAGUUCAGCUUUCUAACCGUCCUUGGACAAUUCAUCAUUAAUGUGACCUCAAAUCAGGUAGGACUACCCGCUGAACUUAAGCAUAUCAAUAAGCGGAGGA